GGCAAAGAUGAGAAAAGAUUACCAGGACUUCAAUAUUCGCCAAAGCAAUUAUUUUUUCUUAAUAGUGCAAUUGACCAAUGCAGCAAACUCAGAAGAAAAAAGAGAAUAUCAUUGGUCAGAUAUUCAAAUUAUCCCGUGGAAAGUAUAAGAAUAAACUUUCAAAUGCAGAACAGUAAAGAAUUUGCAGAGGCAUGGAAUUGUCCAGUUGGAUCCUUCAUGAAUCCGGGAGAUAAAUGCAAUUUAUAUUGAAAAACAAAUGCUAGUGUUUUGAAAAAUUGUCGUACUCUUAUUGUAAAAUAUUGAAUUAUUGAAGAAUUGUGUUGUAACUGUAUUAAAUAAAACGACUUUAGCGAGUAUAAUCAUGAAUGUAUUGAUGUAAGUGAUGAACAACAUCUAAUAAGCGUAUUGAAAACAAGAAGUAUCGAGGUUAAGACCGUCUACAAUAAAGAUUUUGGAUUCUCACUAAAUAAGCAAAAUACGCCAUAAAAGAAUGUUCAUUUUUUGCUUUGAUACAUUAUUGCACACUUAUUUGAAGACGUCCAUAUCUUUACGACUGUUAAUAUAUCUACAAUAUUCUACAAAUCUGUCUGUAUCAACUUCAAUGUAAUAUAUAAUCUUAACCGCCAAAGUCUUUACCAUUAAGUUAGCAGUGUAUAAUAAACAUAAAUCAAGCUACUAAUAUUGACAACACACCAACAAAUAUUAGGAUAUUAAGCAUUUCUCAUGUUUUAGAUGGAAUCAUUCAGCACCAACGUGUACCGUAAACAAUGCGCAUUUGCAAUUAUGAACUUUAAUUACUUAUUUCAAAUUGAUUGAAUUAAGUCCUACACUGUCGCAUUUCAGAAAGUAUUAUUUUGAAGGGCUUUCUGUGUAGUUAAUUUCCAAUGAUAAAAUAUGGCCAUAUUUGUUUUGCAUUGGUAGAAUAACAGAACAUGAUCAGUGUAUUUCAUUAUUAAUUAACUUUUCUAUAUUGGACACGUAUUCAUUUCAAAUGUAAAACUAAUAUUGAAGUUCACCACGACAUAAUGAACAUAAAAAGGCCAUUAUGCAAAGAGUACGGCCUUUAUGAGAAAACUCGGCUAUUAUUAGAUUGGAGAA